UGGAGCCAACCUUGAAAUACCACCCUGAUUUAUUUGAGGUUCUAACCUUGAUCCGUGAAUCCGGAUCGGGGACCGUGCAUGGUGGGCAGUUUGACUGGGGCGGUCUCCUCCCAAAAGGUAACGGAGGAGUACGAAGGUACGCUUAGGGCGGUCGGACAUCGCCCAUAAAGUGCAAUGGCAAAAGCGUGCUUGACUGCGAGACCCACAAGUCGAGCAGGUGCGAAAGCAGGUCAUAGUGAUCCGGUGGUUCUGUAUGGAAGGGCCAUCGCUCAACGGAUAAAAGGUACUCUGGGGAUAACAGGCUGAUACCGCCCAAGAGUUCAUAUCGACGGCGGUGUUUGGCACCUCGAUGUCGGCUCAUCACAUCCUGGGGCUGUAGCCGGUCCCAAGGGUAUGGCUGUUCGCCAUUUAAAGUGGUACGUGAGCUGGGUUUAAAACGUCGUGAGACAGUUUGGUCCCUAUCUGCCGUGGGCGCUGGAAAUUUGAAGGGGGCUGGCUCCUAGUACGAGAGG
rnacentral:rRNA from 1 species